CGCAAUUCUAAUUGGCAGAUGCACUUCCACUUUUGUACCGCGCCUAAAUGUAUUCUAUUAUUCUACUAUAUCGAACUGGUUGCUUUUUGCGCCGCUUUCACUUUCUACCCUAUCAUGGGUAGAAUGAUGAGCACGAGGAUGUUGAUGUGUGGCUGUUGGUUGACCCUUUUCCAGUCCGAUUGGGGGUCCAUUAUAAAUUGCCGUUUGCCGAUGUCCAAAUAUCCGUGUCCGCGUUUGAGCCCUGGGCUCAGAAGAGGGUCAGUGUAAACUGCUCUCAGGGGGAAAGAGCAACUGACGAAAGUGCCGGAGCUGGGAUCGAACCCAUGGCCAUCUGCUUAUGAAGCAAACGUGUGACUACUUAUGCCAUGGGCCCCGGCUUCCCAAAGAAAUUAGUAAGAUGAACUUUAUUUGCAGGUUUUAAUAAAGCAGCUCGAUUAGCUGAUGGUACAAUCUAUUCACAUACAUUUCCAUUUGGAAAAUUUCUCUAAAAAUGGCGCACUGAAACUACCUGAAUAUCUGGAUGUUAUCGUCAAAAGUGGUCUCGCUUCGAUACUAUCAAACUCAUUUGUCUAAUGAUUUCCGAUGGUGUGCUUCGGUCUGUUCAAGUACAUGGAAAAACACCGGACCCUCUAAACCGUCGAUAAUAAACUAGCUCGUGCUGUCAAUUAUAUUUUUUGCCAUACUAUUUUUAACGUCCAUGCAGAAUCGUUCGAGCCCCAGGCCACGCGUGUGUGUUCCGGGCUGGACAGACCCGAGUAGGCACUAGAAAUAAGCUUCCCGAUCGAAACUGAUAUAGACAGUUCUGCGUUCUGUCCUCCUUAUUCAUCUGUUCAAUGCGAAAAAAAAAACAGGCGAGGAGGGUCGAUGGGCUGGGCAGGGCACCCGCACUUCACUGCACUUCGCUUAGCUUCGCGAGUAGAUGAUGGCACGUUGGAAGGGAGCCGGGCCGGCGUCAUGUGUGCGCACAUUUGUGACAAGCAAGAAUUGCAGAAAUUGUUUGCCUUAAUCAAACAUUUGCAUUUAGUGUAAACCAGAUUUGCGCCGCUCGCGAUGAUAGGGACGACGACGUGCUCGGCAUGUGGAAUAGUAAGUUCAUUGUUUCACUGGGCUAGUAGUGUGUGCUGUACCUACUGACUACUGGAGCGAAGGAAUGUGCAAUGCAAUCUGGAGUAUAAAACCGCUGUUGAUCAGAGGCCGCGUGAUAGCAAGAAUAUGGGUAUUUGAUUUGACUGAUUUAAAUAUGGUCUUGGUUUUCUGCCUGGGUGAUUGGCUUUGAGAAGAGUGACAGUUCAAACAUAAGGAUACUUUACAACCGGAUUCGUGGAAUGGUUGUUGAGUUAGUAACGUUGUGUAACAGGCAAAGAGGAAAUCUUGGCGUUGUUGUUACAACAAUUUAAAUAACCUGCUCCUCAUUCCGGUUAGAUUGAUCUACAUUGCAUUGUGGCUUAAAAGACUUUUUCCAAACCAACCCUUUGAUUUUUUGAAGAGAAAGACAGCGAAAAUGUGAUGAACCAUAGUUCUAUCAAAACGAAAUACAUGGUUGCGUGUGGAGACAGAAGCAGUCAUAGGAAAUUUCUAUUACGAGAAGAUUCUAGAUCCAAAGGAUUGCUGAUUACCUGGAAGAACAGAUUGGUAUUAAAAAAUAACGGUUUAACGGUUCCAAUGCACAUGGAUUCAUGGCUUCCAUUCUGAAAAGAGUUACCCAUCCCGAAGCCUGAGCUGACUCAUUUUAUUCAAUCUCUGAUAAAAAAGUAACUUCUCUUCGCGCGAAAAUCAAGGCUACCGCUAUCACGUAACACAAUCAUGAUUUGAUUAAGUUGCUCAUCCGAACAAACAACGCACGUCAUUAGUUCACACCUUCGGAACAGGUGCGAAAUCGGAUGU